rnacentral:rRNA from 1 species
AUACGUAGGGGGCGAGCGUUGUCCGGAAUUACUGGGCGUAAAGCGCAUGUAGGCGGCCUGUUAAGUCAGGUGUGAAAGCUUGCGGCUCAACCGUAGGACUGCACAUGAAACUGGCGGGCUUGAGGGCAGGAGAGGAGAGCGGAAUUCCUAGUGUAGCGGUGAAAUGCGUAGAUAUUAGGAGGAACACCAGUGGCGAAGGCGGCUCUCUGGACUGAACCUGACGCUGAGGUGCGAAAGCUAGGGGAGCGAACGGGAUUAGAUACCCCGGUAGUCCUAGCCGUAAACGAUGGGCACUAGGUGUGGGAGGUAUCGACCCCUUCUGUGCCGGAGCAAACGCAAUAAGUGCCCCGCCUGGGGAGUACGGCCGCAAGGUUGAA